rnacentral:rRNA from 1 species
UACGUAGGGUGCAAGCGUUGUCCGGAAUUAUUGGGCGUAAAGAGCUCGUAGGCGGUCUGUCGCGUCGGCUGUGAAAACCCGGGGCUCAACCCCGGGCCUGCAGUCGAUACGGGCAGACUAGAGUGCGGUAGGGGAGACUGGAAUUCCUGGUGUAGCGGUGAAAUGCGCAGAUAUCAGGAGGAACACCGGUGGCGAAGGCGGGUCUCUGGGCCGUAACUGACGCUGAUGCACGAAAGCUAGGGGAGCAAACAGG